ensembl:lncRNA
UGUGUCUUUCAGUCUUAAUGAAGGAGGUGUGGCCUAUGUGUCUUUCAGUCUUAAUGAAGGAGGUGUGGCCUAUGUGUCUUUCAGUCUUUAUGAAGGAGGUGUGGCCUAUGUCUCUUUCAGUCUUAAUGAAGGAGGUGUGGCCUAUGUGUCUUUCAGUCUUAAAGAAGGAGGCAUAGUUUAUGUGUCUGUAGUGUCAGUGAAGGAGGUGUGGCCUAUUUGCUUAUUAGUCCCAGGAAAGAAGGCAUGGCAUCUCUACCUCUGUCUUCUUCUCUAAUUAAAUCAGAACAGUUGCACAGAAUGUAAUGAAUGUAUGAAUGUUUAGCUCUCUAAAUCAAAGCAUAACGGCUCGCCGGCUGUUCUAAAUUCAUCUUUCACACAUCAGAUCAUGGUUGACAUAGCAAAAGACUCCACACACACACACACACACACACACACACACACUGUAACACCGCUUUGUGUGAUCUCUGAUUUCCGACACAGUUCACAGCAGGAGACGUCGUCGCAGGCCUCGAUCCCAUGAUGACUGCAGUGGAUGCGAGCUGCCUCGUGUUCUGCCUCCGAGUCGUUCUUUCAUUCCCGAGGCGUCUCUGAGCCACACGUCCGGGUCCGGAUUGCUCCCGGGUCGUGCAGCGCAACGCGCUUAUUGAAAUCGGACACCACGGCGUCCUCCGGCCUGUCUCUGCUUUGGAAAAGAGAGCAUAAAUAAAUGUGUAAAUAAUGGCACCCCACUUUCUAUCACAGUUUUAAAUCAUCUUCAUCUAAUAUUCUCAUUGUGCGAGUCUCCCCAUUGUUUCCGCGCAGCCCGUAAUUACCGUCGAUGCUCAUCAGAACCCGACGCAGUCCUCCUCGGAACGCUGAGAAUGUAAACCAGACAGAUCCACAGGCGAGCUCGACAGGAGUUUAAUACACAGCCAGACACGAUGAUACUCUCACGUUAUCAGCUGAUAUAUAGUAGCCUAAAAUACUGUGUGUGUGUGUGUGUGUGUGUGUGUGUGUGUGUGUGUGUGCUGUCAGAGCGAGCCGUUUUUUAAUAAUAUUUCCAUAUUUAAAGGUCAUUUAUCUUCAACACCCGUAAGACGUCACCAAACGGCGGGUCGAGGAAACGUUUCGUAUGACGAGCGUCACGUGACUUUUAAUUUAAUGCGUUCUUGCGGUAAUUAUUUAAAGACAGAUCCUUCAGAUCUCCAGAUCCUUCAGAUCUCCUGCUUUUUACGGCUUGAAAUCGCACGUCGUAUUAUUUAGAUUCAGCACAAGAAUCACGGUGCUCUCCGAAAGUACCGGGACGGCGAGGCCGAUUCUGUCGUUCCCGCGGUACGCCGAAGACGUCCGGGUUCGAAUUUUUCCGCCUCCGUUUCCUCGUACUUACAUCUAGACGUGUUAAACGGCCUCCCGUUUUCCGAGCGAUCGAAAAUAUUGGAACACGGGACUGACAGGUGUUUCUUGUUACCCCAGGUGUCACCCUCUUAGAUCGACCGUUUAUAGAAGGACUCGCUCUGAACGCUGGGUUUCGCCUGCGAAGACUGCGUUUGUCGUUUAAAAAGGGAUAAACCUACACGAAGACCGGAGAGCUGUCUGUGGGAGAAAGCCGAGCCAUUUUGAAGCUAAGACAAGAUGGAAAAUCACUCGGAGCCAUUGCAUGAGCAUCGGGUAUAGCCGAUACGGGAAUCCGGAACGUCCCGAUAAAGGACGAAACGUCCGGUGUACUAACGAGCGGACGCGGGACGGGUCGGCCGAGGAAAACAUGGCGAGAGCUGAGAAGGUAAAACCCCAAAAGAGCAGUCAGUGACAUCACCGACAGCCUCCACGGGGCAGGGCUGAAGGGGUCACAAUCCACCACAAGAUGCAAACCUCAAAGAAAUCCACAGACGAUCCAGAACAGUUCUGGAACCAAGAUGGAAGCUCCACCAGGGUGAUGGAGAAAUUCUGAUGAUCUGAAACAUGCAAGCUCAUCAGUGCAGCAUGGUGGAGGUAGUGUCAUGGCUUGGGCUUGUCAAGGCUUCAUUGUGUUCAACUUGAUUGAUGAUGUCAUCAGUUUUUUUUGUUCUCCGACACACACGGCUAAACCCGGCUCGCUUUGAUGAAAAGAAGAAGCUCGAAUCCUGACUUUCUUCUCCUCCUCUUCUCUUCGCGCCGCUUAUCCUCUCGUUUUUUUUUUUUUUUUGUUGUUGUUGUUUUUUUUUUUCGCUCCGAGUGAAUGCGCAGCUGCUCUCGGCUCUUCUCCUCUCUGAAUGUUUGAUGAUGCCGCCGUUUGUUUGGCCUCUGCGGAUGCGCCGUCGAUGAGGCGCUUGAAGCUCGCAGGCCGCAUUCACACAUGCAUUUUAAUGCAGAAGUGAAAAGCGCGGCGCGCCGGAGAGGCGUAAUCAGGCCGAGGAUGCGGCGUCAAGUGCUCCGCGAAGCUGUGUGUGUGUGUGUGUGUGUGUGUGUGUGUGUGUGUGUGUUUCACACAGCUCCAGUCAGUCAAACGCCACUCAUUCUCCCUCCAUCCGGCUCCUCCCC